rnacentral:rRNA from 1 species
CUACGGGUCGCUGCAGUGGGGAAUAUUGGGCAAUGGGCGAAAGCCUGACCCAGCAACGCCGCGUGAUUGAAGAAGGUCUUCGGAUUGUAAAGAUCUGUCCUUGGGGACGAAAAAAAUGACGGUACCCAAGGAGGAAGCCCCGGCUAACUACGUGCCAGCGCCGCGGUAAUACGUAGGGGGCGAGCGUUGUCCGGAAUUACUGGGCGUAAAGGGUGCGCAGGCGGCGCUUUAAGUCAGAUGUGAAAUAUUCGGGCUCAACCCGAAGGGGGCAUUUGAAACUGGAGUGCUUGAGUGCAGGAGAGGAAAGUGGAAUUCCUAGUGUAGCGGUGAAAUGCGUAGAUAUUAGGAGGAACACCAGUGGCGAAGGCGACUUUCUGGACUGUAACUGACGCCGAGGCACGAAAGCGUGGGGAGCAAACAGGAUUAGAUACCCCCGUAGUC